UUUCGGUGACGUCACGAGAACAUUCGAGUGCGGUGCUGCUUCCACGUUCAUCUUGUCAAGAAGGCAGCAGAAAGCGUAACGAAAUGGGUCUGAAAAGACGUUCUUCUACGAAAAAUCCACCGAUCUUCAGCCACGAAUUCGUCAUACAGAAUCAUGCGGACAUCGUGUCGUGCAUCGCCAUGAUAUUCGUUAUCGGCCUGCUCUUUCAGGCCACUUCCCGUUUUGCAUCAAUGUUCGUUGCCAUGCAUCAUAACACCACGGAAGCUCUAGAACCGACCAACGUAAUUCUCUAUACAUAUGGAAUGAAAGACUUCUUUGUUACAUUUUUCUACUUCUUGAUUGCCAUUGUCAUGCAUGCCAUCGUUCAGGAGUACGCUCUGGAUAAAUUGAAUCGGAAACUGCAUCUUUCCAAGCUGAAGCACAGCAAAUUUAACGAAUCUGGACAACUUUUGAUUUUCUAUUUGAUUUCUGUUGUCUGGGGAGGAGACAUCAUCCUGAGAGAAGGUUAUCUGUUGAAUAUUGGAAAACUCUGGGAAGAUUAUCCUCAUGCUGAGAUGACUUUCAUGUUCAAGUUUUUCUUCAUUAUUCAACUGUCAUAUUGGCUGCAUUGCUUUCCAGAAUUGUAUUUUCAAAAAAUCAAAAAGGACGAGAUGCCAUCCAGAAUAACCUAUGCUACUCUAUAUCUGGUAUUUUUAGGUUCUGCUUAUAUUUUUAACUUUUCGAGAAUUGCCAUCUGCCUGACCACGAUGCAUUACGUCGUCGAAUGCAUCUUCCAUCUCUCUCGACUGUUAUAUUUUGCCGAAAAAUCAAAAGCUGCCAGUUAUGGAUUUAUGAUUUGGAACACACUAUUCGUUCUGGUGAGACUUGCCUCCAUUACGCUGUCUGUUCUGACAUUCUGGUAUGGUCUUGCCCUCAAUGAAUCUGCGGGGAAGAUUGAAGUGGCCACUGGAAACUUCAACACGUCACUCAUACGUGUAAACUGUCUGGUUGCUGUGUGCCUUCUGCAGGCUUGGAUGAUGUGGAAUUUUAUUAAUUUCCACUUAAGGAGAAUGAGAGAGAAGGCUGCCCAAGUGGCCAGCACCAAAAAGAAGGCUCUUGCAAAGAAGGAAAGGAAAAUUAGAAAAGAAGAAAAAAAUUUAUAACAAAGAAAAGGUGCAGAGACAUCACGGCCUGGUUACAUUUUUACCAUCAGAAGGUAUUAAUUGAUGUUUCUGUAUUUAAUGAAUGUGCUCAACUUUAUUUAAAGUGAGGAAAGCGUCGGAAGACGAUGUGAACGAACUCCCGGAGGUGGAUCAAAACACAAAGAAAGACCUGCGCUCUCGAACCGUGGUGAGUUCAACCGCCAGUCCAAAAUCAAAACGAAGUUAACGUCUCCCGGAACCGUUCUCCGGCGAGCUCGGGCGGACGACGAAUCUUUUUUUUAACCCCGUACCGGUUUUUACCACUUUGCUUAACUCUGUGUCACGACGCUUUUUAAAAAAAUUAUAUAUAUAUUAUAAUAAUAACAAAAAAAUCAAAAUAGGUUUGGUUUCCGUUGAGUUUUUAUAUGUGAAAAAAACUGUACAGUUAACAGACGAUGACAGUUUCCAACAAAAUUGGAACAGAUACUGUUUCGGACAGUAGGAAAUUUGUAAAUUUGGGAUUGAAGUUGAUUUUUGUAUAUUUUUCUACUAUAUCUUCAUAAAUAAAGUUGCACAUUCCAAUUAA